UACGAAGGGGGCUAGCGUUGCUCGGAAUCACUGGGCGUAAAGGGUGCGUAGGCGGGUCUUUUAAGUCAGGGGUGAAAUCCUGGAGCUCAACUCCAGAACUGCCUUUGAUACUGGCGAUCUCGAGUCCGGGAGAGGUGAGUGGAACUGCGAGUGUAGAGGUGAAAUUCGUAGAUAUUCGCAAGAACACCAGUGGCGAAGGCGGCUCACUGGCCCGGUACUGACGCCGAGGUGCGAAAGCGUGGGGAGCAAACAGG
rnacentral:rRNA from 1 species